AUUGAACGCUGGCGGCAGGCCCAACACAUGCAAGCCGAGCGAGCGGCGGACGGGGGAGUAAUGUACGGGGACUGCCCGAUAGAGGGGGAUAACUACAGGAAACGGUAGCUAAUAACGCAUACUCUCGGAUAACCCAUAUGGGAUUAGCUCGUAGGUGAGGUAAUGGCUCACCUAGGCCACGAUCCCUAGCUGGUCUGAGAGGAUGAUCAGCCACGCUGCGCCUGAGACACGGCCCAGACGCCAAGGGAGACAGCAGUGGGGAGUAUUGCACGAUGGGCACAAUCCUGAUGCAGCCGUGCCGCGUGUAUGAAAUGGGCCCUGGGGUUGGCAAGUACUUUCAGUCGGGAGGCGUUACCGACAGAAGAAGCACCGGCUAACUCCGUGCCAGCCGCCGCGGUAAUUC
rnacentral:rRNA from 1 species